GACGAACGCUGGCGGCGUGCUUAACACAUGCAAGUCGAACGGAAAGGCCCUGCUUUUGUGGGGUGCUCGAGUGGCGAACGGGUGAGUAACACGUGAGUAACCUGCCCUUGACUUUGGGAUAACUUCAGGAAACUGGGGCUAAUACCGGAUAGGAGCUCCUGCUGCAUGGUGGGGGUUGGAAAGUUUCGGCGGUUGGGGAUGGACUCGCGGCUUAUCAGCUUGUUGGUGGGGUAGUGGCUUACCAAGGCUUUGACGGGUAGCCGGCCUGAGAGGGUGACCGGCCAGAGUGGGACAGAGAUACGGCCCAGACUCCUGCGGGCGGCAGCAGUGGGGAAUAUUGCACAAUGGGCGGAAGCCUGAUGCAGCAACGCCGCGUGCGGGAUGACGGCCUUCGGGUUGUAGACCGCUUUCGCCUGUGACGAAGCGUGAGUGACGGUAAUGGGUAAAGAAGCACCGCCUAACUACGUG
rnacentral:rRNA from 1 species